UGGCGGUGUGCUUUAUGCAUGCAAGUCGAACGAUGAAGCAGAGCUUGCUCUGUGAAUUAGUGGCAAACGGGUGAGUACAAGAUAGGCAACCUACCUCGAAGACGGGAAUAUACGGCAGAAAUGCCGGACAAUAACCGAUAAUGUCUCUUCCUUCAAGGGUUGAGAAGAAAGGUGCAAACCGCUUUGAGACGGGCUUAUCUCCUAUCACGGCAGUUGGUAAGGUAAUAGCUUACCAAACCUACGACGGGUAGCUGGUCUGAGAGGACGGUCAGCCACAUUGGGACUGAGACACGGCCCAGACUCCUACGGGAGGCAGCAGCCGGGAAUAUUCGGCAAUGGGCGAAAGCCUGACCGAGCGACACCGCGUGAGCGACGAAGGCCUUCGGGUCGUAAAGCUCUUUUAUUUGGGAAGAAUGCAUAGUAAUAUGUUUGACGGUACCAUUUGAAUAAGCCCCAGCUAACUACGUGCCAGCAGCUGCGGUAAUACGUAGGGGGCAAGCGUUAUCCGGAAUCACUGGGCGUAAAGGGUCCGCAGGUGUCCCGUUAAGUUAGAUGUUAAAUCGCAAGGCUCAACCUUGCGGCUGCAUCUAAUACUGACAGGAUAGAGGAUAGGUGACGGAAGUGGAAUUCCUGGUGGAGAGGUAAAAUCCGUAGAUAUCAGGAGGAACACCCGUGGCGUAGGCGGCUUCCGAACCUAUUCCUGACACUCAGGGACGAAAGCUAGGGGAGCAAACAGGAUUAGAUACCCUGGUAGUCCUAGCUGUAAACGAUGAAUACUAGAUAGUGGGUGCUACACCGUACUCACCGUCGUAGCUAACGCGUUAAGUAUUUCGCCUGGGAACUACGAUCGCAAGUUUGAAACUCAAAGGAAUUGACGGGUCCCCGCACAAGCAGCGAGGCAUGUGGCUUAAUUCGAUGCAACACGAAGAACCUUACCUGGACUUGACAUGUUUCUGAAAGGCCGGAGAAACCCGGUCCCUUCCAGUUUACUGGAACAGUUUCACAGGUGGUGCAUGGUUGUCGUCAGCUCGUGUCGUGAGAUGUAAGGUUAAGUCCUUAAACGAGCGUAACCUUUGUCAUUAGUUGCCACCGGUUCGGCCGAGCACUCUAAUGAGACCGCUAGCGACAAGCUAGAGGAAGAUGGAGAUGACGU
rnacentral:rRNA from 1 species